UACGUAGGGUGCAAGCGUUGUCCGGAAUUAUUGGGCGUAAAGAGCUCGUAGGUGGCCUGUCGCGUCGGCUGUGAAAACUCGGGGCUCAACUCCGAGCUUGCAGUCGAUACGGGCAGGCUAGAGUUCGGCAGGGGAGACUGGAAUUCCUGGUGUAGCGGUGAAAUGCGCAGAUAUCAGGAGGAACACCGGUGGCGAAGGCGGGUCUCUGGGCCGUUACUGACGCUGAGGAGCGAAAGCGUGGGGAGCGAACAGG
rnacentral:rRNA from 1 species